UAAGGAUUGAUGUGAAAUUCAAUUUCGUAGGUUGUAUUGGAUUGAAGAUUUUGUGGAUUGAAGAAUGAAGGUUGCAGUCAAAUCUUAAAUUCUCUUGCUCUGGAAAUCUGAGUGGAUUGCUUUGAAGUAAAAGAGCCAUUCAAGAAGAGUCAAUUCAGUUGUAGUUUAGCAGCUACUUCAAGACGUACAGUUCAGUUUUUAGUCAGAAGCAUGAGUUAUUUUCUUUUCUUAUCAAGCAAUAUGCUGAUGUGGCUUUCGAUCUACUGGUUUCGUUGGCUUCUUUUUCGCUUGUUGAAUGCUGCUUAUCUCUUUGGUGCCCAAGUGAUUUUUGAUAUUCAUAUGGGCUAGCUCUGAUAUAGUUCUUGUAUUAAUUUAGUAGUUGCAUUUUUGUUCUUUUGUUUUCUCUUCUACUAGGAGAAGUUUAGGCUUCAUGUCCCCUUCUCUUACUCUUGUAUUCUUAUUAUUAUCAAUGAUAAU